AAUCCGCUGUAACAAUUCUGAGGCGUGAUGGGGAAGGCCAUAUAGGCCGAAGUACAUGAUUCCAUGCUUCCAAGAAAAGCAUCUAGAGAGAGAAGUAGUGCCCGUACAGCAAACCGACACAGGUAGAUGAGGAGAGAAUCCUAAGGCCGGCGGAAGAAUUGCAGUUAAGGAACUAGGCAAAUUGACCCCGUAAGUUCGCGAGAAGGGGUGCCUGCGAGAGCUGGCCGCAGAGAAUAGGCCCAAGCAACUGUUUAGCAAAAACACAGGUCUCUGCUAAAGCGCAAGCUGAUGUAUAGGGGCUGACGCCUGCCCGGUGCUGGAAGGUUAAGGGGAACACUUAGCGCAAGCGAAGGUGUGAACUUAAGCCCCAGUAAACGGCGGCCGUAACGAUAACGGUCCUAAGGUAGCGAAAUUCCUUGUCAGGUAAGUUCUGACCCGCACGAAUGGCGUAAUGACUUGGGCACUGUCUCAACUGCAAAUCCGGCGAAGUUGUAGUGCGAGUGAAGAUGCUCGCUACCCGCGAUUGGACGGAAAGACCCCGUAGAGCUUUACUGCAGCUUAGCAUUGAAUUCCGGUAUUGUCUGUACAGGAUAGGUGGGAGACUGGGAAACUAGGGCGUCAGCCUUAGUGGAGUCAACCUUGGGAUACCACCCUGACAGUACUGGGGUUCCAACAGGACGCCAUGAAUCUGGUGACUGGACAUUGUUAGGUGGGCAGUUUGACUGGGGCGGUCGCCUCCUAAAAAGUAACGGAGGCGCCCAAAGGUUCCCUCAGAACGGUCGGAAAUCGUUCGUAGAGUGCAAAGGCAUAAGGGAGCCUGACUGCGAGACCUACAAGUCGAGCAGGGACGAAAGUCGGGCUUAGUGAUCCGGUGGUACCUCGUGGGAGGGCCAUCGCUCAACGGAUAAAAGCUACCUCGGGGAUAACUGGCUGAUCUCCCCCAAGAGUCCACAUCGACGGGGAGGUUUGGCACCUCGAUGUCGGCUCGUCGCAUCCUGGGGCUGUAGUAGGUCCCAAGGGUUGGGCUGUUCGCCCAUUAAAGCGGCACGCGAGCUGGGUUCAGAACGUCGUGAGACAGUUCGGUCCCUAUCCGUCGCGGGCGUAGGAAAUUUGAGAGGAGCUGUCCUUAGUACGAGAGGACCGGGAUGGACUGACCUCUGGUGCACCAGUUGUUCCGCCAGGAGCAUGGCUGGGUAGCUAAGUCGGGAAGGGAUAAACGCUGAAAGCAUCUAAGCGUGAAGCCUCCCUCAAGAUGAGAUUUCCCAUAGCAUAAGCUAGUAAGACCCCUUGAAGAACACAAGGUUGAUAGGUCAGAGGUGUAAGUGCGGUAACGUAUGUAGCUGACUGAUACUAAUAGGUCGAGGGCUUGACCG
rnacentral:rRNA from 1 species